UCAUUGUGAAGCAGAAUUCAC
rnacentral:snRNA from 1 species